UUUUAACCCAUUACUGUCUUUAAAAUGUUCACUUUGCCUUUGCUUUUAUGCAAUGUCAUUGUAAUAGGUUUGCGUCUUCGUUACUUAUUUAUCCUGUCUGAAUGUGUUGGGCUUCCCUAAUCUUAAAAUUGUUCUUGCCUAUCAGUUAUUAUAGACAAUGAGAAGAGGGGUGAACAGAGCUGGAGACUAUUGACCUCCUCAAAGUUCAAGAAGAGGCAUUUGGAAAAUGUUGUUUUUGGUAACAUGCAAAGGAUAUGACUAAAGGAUUGAGAAGGGAGAAGAGUGCCAUAAAAGAAGUGGCACGGCCAUAGGAAGGCCAUGACCAGACAACUCACACAUGCGCAGGAGGAAACCAGCUGUGGGAGGGCAGAGCCUGUCAUUUUGUCUCCAGUGGGACUGAGACCAGCACUGAAGGAACCACAGCCCUGAAAUAAUAGGAGGCUUUAGGAACCAGUGGGAGCACUAAGAAAUUUGACCUCACCAUCUACAUGCUGGGAGGUGACUGAGCCAAACUUCCCAACCAGUGACCUUUCCAGAGAAGUAUACAACCCAAAGUGGGAUGAAUUGUCAUCAAAUUUCAUACAUUGGAAUUAACUGACGGUUUGAUUUAGUGGAAUACUGGAAUAAAAAGGCAAUCAUUCUUUUA